UGUCGAGAGAAGCCUCAGGCCAAGCUCCUGCCUUGCUGGCUUGUUUGUGUUACUUUCCGGCCGUUUCUUUUGUUCAGUCCCUUUCAGUGUCCCCAUUUAAACUCCAUUCUGCACGCCCCAUUUGGUUCGAUUAGUUGCUUUGACUGAUCUCCUGUUGCCAAAUAUCUGCAUGCCGAACGACCAAGCUAAGAUUGUUUUACUUCACACGGGUGCCACUGAGACUGGUGCACUGCUGGAGCCAUCAGAGAUUUUCCCGUUGCACUGCGUUUACCUGGCUGGUGAAAUUUUGAAGAUGUGGACCGACGCUUUUUGACACCUGCUUGUUCGCUUCAAGGGACACUGUCUCUAACGGUUGCACAGCAUGGCUGGAAGAAUGAACAGCUAAAACCCCCCAAGGACCCAAGAUGUCAACCUGAUGGAACCAAGAUGGAGUUGGAUGGAGCCUUUGUUCUUCCCAGCAGGCUCCACUUCAUCAAGUACCGAAGCUCUCAUUGCCCCCUUGACCAUUAGGAGGUGGAAAACAAUGCAGAUUGGCCACGCCCCCUCCCCUCCUCGUCUCAAACGGAUCUGAACGUUCAGGAUGUCAUUUUCCAUCUGUCGACUAAUCAUGAUGGCCCACAUCAUUCAAGCACAAGGUCCUUCAGCAGAGCAAGACCCUUCUUUCUUCAAGCUACCUUGAAGAACUAAUCUACUGUGUAGAAGCUACAUCAAAUGAAGAGGGAACUAAUGACAACACUCUUGCAUCUGGAUGGGACAGUGAUCUUUCUUCAAUUAUCUUACUCCUUCACCAAAAGACAAGGAAAAAUGUCUGCAUCCCAUGCUAAGCAUCUUGUUGUGUUGAAGAACUAAUCUUCUGUGUAGAAGCUACAUCAAAUGAAGAGGGAACUAAUGACAACACUCUUGCAUCUGGAUGGGACAGUGAUCUUUCUUCAAUUAUCCUACUCCUUCACCAAAAGACAAGGCAAAAUGUCUCAUUCUGAGUCUUUGAUGAGCUUUUUAAGGCCCAUUUUGUCUUUGGUACUACAACAGAGGUG